GACGAACGCUGGCGGCGUGCUUAACACAUGCAGGUCGAACGGAAAGGCCUCUUUCGGGGGGUACUCGAGUGGCGAACGGGUGAGUAACACGUGAGUAACCUGCCCUUGACUUUGGGAUAACUUCAGGAAACUGGGGCUAAUACCGGAUAGGAGCUCCUGCUGCAUGGUGGGGGUUGGAAAGUUUCGGCGGUUGGGGAUGGACUCGCAGCUUAUCGGCUUGUUGGUGGGGUAGUGGCUUACCAAGGCUUUGACGGGUAGCCGGCCUGAGAGGGUGACCGGCCACAUUGGGACUGAGAUACGGCCCAGACUCCUACGGGAGGCAGCAGUGGGGAAUAUUGCACAAUGGGUGGAAGCCUGAUGCAGCAACGCCGUGUGCGGGAUGACGGCCUUCGGGUUGUAAACCGCUUUCGCUCAUGACGAAGCUUUGUGUGACGGUAGUGGGUAAAGAAGCACCGGCUAACUACGUG
rnacentral:rRNA from 1 species